rnacentral:piRNA from 6 species
GGUGGUUCAGUGGUAGAAUUCUCGC